rnacentral:rRNA from 1 species
UACGUAGGGUGCAAGCGUUGUCCGGAAUUAUUGGGCGUAAAGAGCUCGUAGGCGGCCUGUCGCGUCGGAUGUGAAAAUCCAAGGCUCAACCUUGGACCUGCAUUCGAUACGGGCAGGCUAGAGUUCGGUAGAGGAGACUGGAAUUCCUGGUGUAGCGGUGAAAUGCGCAGAUAUCAGGAGGAACACCGAUGGCGAAGGCAGGUCUCUGGGCCGAUACUGACGCUGAGGAGCGAAAGCGUGGGGAGCGAACAGG